AAACAUGUCUUUUUGUAUUAUAUUUAAAGUCUAACCUGCCCACUGAAUAAUUUAAAUGGCCGCAGUAUCCUAACUGUGCAAAGGUAGCAUAAUCAUUAGUCUUUUAAUUGAAGGCUGGAAUGAAUGGUUGGACGAGGUAUUAACUGUUUCAAAUAAAUUUUUUAUAGAAUUUUAUUUUUUAGUCAAAAAGCUAAAAUUUAAUUAAAAGACGAGAAGACCCUAUAAAUCUUUACUAUUAUUUAUAUUUUAAUUAUAUAGAAUAAUUUUAUUAUAAUAUAAUUAAUAGUUUUAUUGGGGUGAUAUUAAAAUUUAAAAAACUUUUAAUUUUUAAAAUACAUAAAUUAAUGAAUAAUUGAUCCAUUAUUAGUGAUUAAAAAUUUAAGUUACUUUAGGGAUAACAGCGUAAUUUUUUUGGAGAGUUCAUAUCGAUAAAAAAGAUUGCGACCUCGAUGUUGGAUUAAGAAAAAUUUUAGGUGUAGCCGCUUAAAUAUUAAGUCUGUUCG
rnacentral:rRNA from 1 species